rnacentral:rRNA from 1 species
UACGUAGGGGGCUAGCGUUGUCCGGAAUCAUUGGGCGUAAAGCGCGUGUAGGCUGCCCGAUAAGUCCGCUGUGAAAGUCCAGGGCUCAACCCUGGGAUGCCGGUGGAUACUGUCGGGCUCGAGUCCGGAAGAGGCGAGUGGAAUUCCUGGUGUAGCGGUGAAAUGCGCAGAUAUCAGGAGGAACACCAAUGGCGAAGGCAGCUCGCUGGGACGUGACUGACGCUGAGACGCGAAAGCGUGGGGAGCAAACAGG